CUCGCAGCGCAGUACGCUCUUUUGCGUCCGGACUAGGGAGUUGGUCCAGGCUGCUUGAAACGGUGGUGCUGGUAACGAAGCUGUUACGUGAAGAUGCUAAGAUGCAAAGGAAAAUUCCAAAACAUGGGAGAAGAUUUGCGGGGAAAGUACCUGGCUAAAACUUGACAAUCUUAUUAGCAUCCUGGGGAUUGAUGAAUACUAAUGAAGCUGUGGAUAUCACUGGCUGUCAGCUUCAUUUGGAAUGAGGGGUCGCUGUCUGCUGUCUGUUGAAAAGAGGCCGGUUUGCUGUGAUGUUUUUAAGCUGUAACCAUUUCUGGCUAGUGUUAACAAGAUUUACCUGCUUGUUAUAUGGAUAACUGGUGAUCAGGAAAAGCUCUUCAUUUUGUGGACUUGGAAAGAAAACAUGCAGAUCAAGAUGUAUGGAGUUUUAAAUUAUGCAAAUAGAUUCUGAACCAACAUUAAAUAUAGAUUAAUGUAUCUUUAAAAUUCAAGCCAUUUUUAGUCAUGUCACAUACUGAAUAUUUGUAAUAGAAAUUUUUUUCCAGUUAAGUAACCUUGUAAUCAAAUAAUUCUGGAUGAAUGUCUUACCUUUGGUCACCUGUUUAAGUUUAAAAUGUAUAAUUAAAGCUGUGUGAAAGUUUGUGCUGUUAAGUGGAGAUGUGGACAGAUGGCCUAUUACGGGAUGGGGGAAUACCAGGCAUAAAAGUGAUCACUGAUUGAGUCAGAUUAUUUGGUCUUACAUAAUUGGAAUUUGAAAGGAUGUUUUAAAAAUGAAGAGAGCAAGGUGUGGCAGUUAAAGGUCACUGAAAAUCUGGUUUAGAAGUAGUCAAACAUUGCACAGAAUGGAUUUAGUGUAAACAGUAAUAGCAUCUGAUCUAACCAAGGUGAUUAGGUUCCCCAUUCAUGAUCACCUUCCCUAAAUAGCUGCAUGAAUAAGUUGUUCCCAAGCCCAUAUUUAAAUGUCAUAGUCAAAACACCAAUUUUUUUUUUCCUCAGUGAGCCAUCAUUUUCCUUAAAAUGAUUUCUUGCCUUAGUGAAAAAAAUUCUAUUUUGGACCCAUGCAGCUCAGGAGAGGCUGAUGAGACUGACAGGCCUAUAGCUGGGUGGCCAAGCACAUAGUGAAUUUGCCCCAAGUAGUAAGAUGGUAUGAAGUGGAACUUUGAAACUGUUUCUUGCACCCAUAUUAAAAUGAUGAACUAAAAAUUAAAGGGCUUUGUAUUUGGCGUAUCUGCACAUUAAACCAGGUACAAGAAAUUCCACAGUGGCUCUGGUUUGUGGGAAGUUAAGAGGCCUUUGAGUCUUGUUUCAGUGAGAAAGAUGAAUUAGCAUAAUGUUACACAUAAUAUGAGUAUCAUGAUAUUACCAAAAGAAAUGAAGAAAACUGACCUUUGAGGUAAAAUGUACCUUCAGGUAAGGUUUCAAUGAGAUAGUGUAUAUAAAAUGCAGCAAUUGCAAUCUUGACUAUUAACAGCUCUCAUAUUUCCUCUUGAUCUAAGGUCAAGAAACAAGUAGCAUUGUGUUUGUAAUCUUAUUAGUUGCCUUUAUUAUAUGUACUUCGAAAUAGGUAAGUAAUGUUUGGUAAUGCAUUUUAUAAGAUCUGUUUCACUGGCUUAAGUGCAUAGACAACUACCUGGUACUUGGUUGUAGAGUAAAUUUUAAGUGAACAAUGAAUGAUAUAAGACAAAUUGGGAUCCUGCACAAAACUUUCAGGCAAAAGUGUCUUCUACCCUUUGUCAGAGCUGGCAAACAAGACUAAAGCCAGAGUUGUGAAACAAUGAUCCCUCUGACCUUUUCCUGCAGUUCUUCUGGUUUUGCUCCUUUCCUUCCCAAUCAUUCUUGUAAUGUCAUAUUUCCUUAGUUGAUAAAUUGGUAAUGUGCAUUUACUUCAUUGCACUGUAUUAGGUUCCAAAGAGGUCAGAUGUAAAAUACUCUCUGUUUUCUAUAUGUCAGUAGUAUAAAAUGCCAAGGAAAGUGAAAAGCAAGGCAUCUGUAAUACUGUCAAUAAAAAAAUUUUAAAAAGCAA